CCCUUAGAUGUUCUGGGCCGCACGCGCGCUACACUGACGGAGUCAACGAGUUGUCCUGCAUCGGAAGGUGUGGGUAAUCUUUUGAAACUUCGUCGUGCUGGGGAUAGAUCUUUGCAAUUUUCGAUCUUGAACGAGGAAUUCCUAGUAAGCGUGAUUCAUCAGAUCGCGUUGAUUACGUCCCUGCCCUUUGUACACACCGCCCGUCGCUACUACCGAUUGAGUGGUUUAGUGAGGCCUCGGGACUGGCGCGCUCGAGUAGCAAUACACCUGCGCGCCGGGAACUUGGUCAAACUUGAUCAUUUAGAGGAAGUAAAAGUCGUAACA
rnacentral:rRNA from 1 species